rnacentral:rRNA from 1 species
UACGUAGGGUGCAGGCGUUAAUCGGAAUUACUGGGCGUAAAGCGUGCGCAGGCGGUUUGCUAAGACAGGUGUGAAAUCCCCGGGCUUAACCUGGGAACUGCGCUUGUGACUGCAUCGCUGGAGUACGGCAGAGGGGGAUGGAAUUCCGCGUGUAGCAGUGAAAUGCGUAGAUAUGCGGAGGAACACCGAUGGCGAAGGCAAUCCCCUGGGCCUGUACUGACGCUCAUGCACGAAAGCGUGGGGAGCAAACAGG